UACAUGAGGGUGCAAGCGUUGUCCGGAAUUAUUGGGCGUAAAGAGCUCGUAGGUCGUUUUGUUACGUCGGAUGUGAAAACCUGAGGCUCAACCUCAGGCCUGCAUUCGAUACGGGCAAACUAGAGUUUGGUGAGGGGGAGACGUGGAAUUCCUGGUGUAGCGGUGGAAAUGCGCAGAUAUCAGGAGGAACACCAAUGGCGAAGGCAGGUCUCUGGGCCAAUACUGACACUGAGGAGCGAAAGAUCUGGGGGAGCGAACAGGG
rnacentral:rRNA from 1 species